UUUGGGAACCAAUGUAAGAAAAAUAAUUUAGUUUCGAGUGUUUCUACAUAAAAGAAAAUCCGUAAAAUAAUAAUAAAUAAUAUAUAGAUACACUAUAUCUAGAUACAGCUGUUUCAAUCUUCAAUGGUUAUACAUAUUAUAGGCUACAGUGAAAUAAAUUCUUAGAAAAUACAUUAUUUCCUACUGCUGCAAUAAUGGAUUAUUUCUUUUGGCCCGAGGAGCUUGCGUUAAAAUUUAUUUUGCUAAACAACCAAUAUAAAAUAUACGUGUAUAUUAUGCAAAUAAAUGGGCAGGUGAUAAACACCGGCGAAUAAUAAACGCUUGCAAUGUUUACCAGUUACGCCGCUGUGUAGUCAAUAGUUCAGUGCGUCGUGCGUGUAAUAAAUGUGGACACAUAUCAACUACAUUUCAACAUUUCCAAUAUCGCAUACUUGAUAUCAAGCAAUCUGACAACGUCAAUGACGUUUAAGAAAAUUAUUUUGAAAAAGAACAAUUAAGCGAAUUUGUUUGUGAAAGAUGUCAAUGACAAGUUACUGCCUAUGAAAAGUUCUCAUUUGAAAGAGCACCAAACGAUUUAUGCAUUCUGUUAAAAAGGUACAGUGUAGUUAUGGAUGAUUUAGUGGAAAUAAAAACAGUAAAGCUAUUCAAAUAAAUGAACUAUUAGAUGUCGUCUGCACCAUUCUAAACAAUAAUAACUUAAUAAAUACACGAUUGUAUUGAAAAAUGAUCAUUAGAGUGAGCUUACUAAUUUUGCUUUAUCACACAUUAUGUUUAACUGUAACUUGGAAACCGUCGUCAGAAUACACAGAAUACCAAUUUCUAUACUUAUUACUUUACUAUACUGCAAGAAUAUGUAUCGGUUUUUUUCUCUGAGGGAGGGGUUCAGUACCCCUGGACCACCCCCGUAAAUACACCACUGAGGAGAUCACUAGCUUCAAUAGAUACAUAUAGUGGUAUUUCAAGGUCUCUAGUAAGUAUAUUAUCCAUAGUGUCUUCUGUACUAUCCGUACUAUCAGCUCUAAAAGAUGGCUUGAAGGUAAAUAUAAAUAUAAACAAAUUAAAAUUGUAAUACUCAUAACUAAGUUUAACAAUAUUAAUUACAGUUUCAGUUAACAUGUCAAAAAUGAGAGCUCCAAGUGACCAUCAAUCAACUGGUUUUCCAUGACCACUCCUAGUCAAAAUUUCUGGUGCCCUGAUAUCAUAAAUUGAUGUUUUUUUUUAAAUAGAUUCUCAAUCUUUUGGGAUUUCUUACAAUGUAUGCAAUUGUGCCGCAAAAUGCAUGAGUAACAUUAUCCAGUGGCGUAUUUACGGGGGGGGGGGGGGUAUGAGGAUAGAUCAUAUCCCAUAGUCUUUUACUAGUAAGUUUAAUAAUGUUGGUCUAAUAAUAUAUUUUCUGGUUUAAAUCUCUAAAUACACAAAUAAAAUCCAUAGUUUAUACAUUUAAAAAAUGUUGAAAUAAAAUAAUACUUUGUAGCCUUAAGUAUUAAAAAAUAAUAUUUAUUAAUUACCACAGAGCACUACAUAUUAAAUAUUUAGGACAUUUAUAAAUAAAAAUAAUGUAACAUUGUAAUAAUAUUAAAUUAUAAUUAUUUAAUUUAAUUUAUAUUCAAGACAAAAAAAAACCUCGAGAAAAAUCAUUUAAUGAAAUAUUAUUUUAAGACAUCAUAAUCGUGAGGAUUGUAUAAAGUAGCAAAUUGUUCUACCUUUUCUUCAUUCUGGUAAAUAUUUAAAUUCUAAUUUGUUACUUUCUAUUUAUUAGUAAAAUAUUUUUAAAGAAUUUGUGAAGUAGUGUACUUUAUAAUGAAAUCAACCAACUAGGCGCGGAUCCACGAAUAUUGGCAUUUAAGUUGUUAUUUUAGAAUUUUUAUUAAAAGUUUUAUAAGAAUUUAUUAUAUGUAUUAUAUAUUUAUUAUUUAGUAAUCGUAAAUAACAAAACAAUAUAAUAUUCCACAUUCAAUUAUAAUUUUACUGUAUACCUUCUAUCUUUUGUGGUUAAAUUUACGGGCCCACCCAAAAAAAAAAAAUUCUGGUUCCGCGCCUGCAACCAACGUGGUUGAUCAUCAAGUCUUGAAUAAUAAAUUUUUAUUAAAUUUUUGAAAAAAAUAAAAAUAAAUCUUCAAAUUCUAUAAAUAGCAUCAAGCCUCAAAAAACUGUGGUUUGUAGAUCUAAGUGGAUGAAUGUAAAACAUUUUUUUAUUUUUAAUUCCUUAAAAACUAAAAAAUAAUCAAUAAUAUACCUAUUGGAUAAAUAUUAUAAAUAAAUAUAUUUAAGAAUGUUAACUGAUAUAUUAUUAGUGGAUAAAUUAAUACCUGUAAAUUAUGUCUAGACUGUGUAAAUACUAUUUUGCAAUAAUAAUUUCUGUCAGAUAAAAGCUGUAAUAUUAAAAUUAUAAUAGUAUCAACUGUCAAUACAUAAUAAGAAAAAUAUAUGGACUCAACAUAAACCAACUUUUAAUUUAAUUAAAUUAGUAGUUAACUGUGAAACCUCAAAAAAAGCAAGACAUACAAUUUUGUUUUUAAAAUAAAAAAUAAAAGUAUUUUACUGUCUACAAAUUGAAAUUCAAUAUACAAAAAAAAUAAUAAUUAACACUUAAUUUUUUUAUUCAUUUUUAACCUAUAUUACUUCUAUUACAAAUUUAAACAGAAAUUACUCAAUGUUUUAGUAUAUGUGCUUGUGUAAUAAUCAUUAUAAUUUUUUAUAUCACAUACAUCACAAAAUAUUACUUAAAGUGGUUUGAAAAUACUAUAUAUUAAUGGUACACCCUCGCUCACCAACUUACUAUACGACAUCAAUGGAAUUUCUGAUAAAUAUAAUUAUACAUUGUUGUCAGGUAAACGAUUAGUAUAUGGUAUGUUGACUACCUCUUAAUACUAUACCAAAAUGUUUAUACUCAAAUUAACUUUGGAUACUACUAAUAUAACUAUAAAAAUACAGCUCAAGAUUGAGAUAGUUACUUCAGUAGGUCAAAUUGGCAUGUAAUGACCUUAUCUACACUAUAAGUGUGAUAAAAAAUAUAUUAAACUCUAAAUUGUUAUAACACAUAAAUAAUAUGUAUAUAUUAUACGUUAUAAGAAUAAAACAAGAUAUUUAGAUAAAAAUAUUUUUUUAUAAUAAUAAAUAUAAACAAACUAUACUCGUAUAGUAAAUGCAUUGUGUAUGUUACAUGUAUGAUGAUGAAUGAUGAUGGUGGGAAAAAAUGUAUACUGGAGGUACGUGAUUAAGUAUAUCCAUUUAUUAGUUACACUUAGCUAGAUUGAAAUAAAUAUAUAUUAAACUGUUUUUUUCUUAUAGUCAUUAUUAUAAGUAACAGAGAAUUAAAGAAAAAAAAUUGAGUAUAAAGUAUAUAUAGUAUAUAAAGUAUAAAAUGUAUUACAUUUCUGAGUACCUAGUUUGUAGCACUUAAAUUCUUCUACAUGAUUUUAAAAUGUUUAAAACAAAAUUACCUUUUAAUUUGCUAAAUAUUUAAGCUGUAAAAAGUAUUUUUAUAAAACUUUUUUAUCGGUAGUUUCAAUUAAUUUUUCUAUCUAAAGAUUUUUUAAAUUGAUUAUUUCUAUAGCUAUUUUAAAAAUAUCAUGAU